AGAGUUUGAUCCUGGCUCAGGACGAACGCUGGCGGCGCGCCUAACACAUGCAAGUCGAACGGAGCUGAGAGGAGCUUGCUUUUCUUGACUUAGUGGCGAACGGGUGAGUAACGCGUGAGUAACCUGCCCUGGAGUGGGGGACAACAGUUGGAAACGACUGCUAAUACCGCAUAAGCCCACGGCCCGGCAUCGGGCUGGGGGAAAAGGAUUUAUUCGCUUCAGGAUGGACUCGCGUCCAAUUAGCUAGUUGGUGAGGUAACGGCCCACCAAGGCGACGAUUGGUAGCCGGACUGAGAGGUUGAACGGCCACAUUGGGACUGAGACACGGCCCAGACUCCUACGGGAGGCAGCAGUGGGGGAUAUUGCACAAUGGGGGAAACCCUGAUGCAGCGACGCCGCGUGGAGGAAGAAGGUUUUCGGAUUGUAAACUCCUGUCGUUAGGGACGAUAAUGACGGUACCUAACAAGAAAGCACCGGCUAACUACGUGCCAGCAGCCGCGGU
rnacentral:rRNA from 1 species